CCUACGGGAGGCAGCAGUGAGGAAUAUUGGUCAAUGGGCGCGAGCCUGAACCAGCCAAGUCGCGUGAGGGAAGACGGCCCUACGGGUUGUAAACCUCUUUUGCCGGGGAGCAACGGGCGCCACGUGUGGCGCCACUGAGAGUACCCGGAGAAAAAGCAUCGGCUAACUCCGUGCCAGCAGCCGCGGUAAUACGUAGGUGGCAAGCGUUGUCCGGAAUUACUGGGUGUAAAGGGAGCGCAGGCGGGAAGCCAAGUCAGCUGUGAAAACUACGGGCUUAACUUGUAGACUGCAGUUGAAACUGGUUUUCUUGAGUGAAGUAGAGGUUGGCGGAAUUCCGAGUGUAGCGGUGAAAUGCGUAGAUAUUCGGAGGAACACCGGUGGCGAAGGCGGCCAACUGGGCUUUAACUGACGCUGAGGCUCGAAAGUGUGGGGAGCAAACAGGAUUAGAUACCCCAGUAGUC
rnacentral:rRNA from 1 species